UUAUUGGUGACACAGAAAACAAUGGUGCAUCUUGUCACUCCACAGUGCCUUAGAAUCUACAGAAUGCUUCAUGUUGUUUAUACUUAUUUGGGGAACUGUAAAAUGAAAAAUUCUAAAAUAAAUCCUCUCUAAUACCUCUUCUUGUUCUGUAGCUCUGUGCUUUUCUGUGUUGAAGCCUGGAUCUCAGAGCUGAUGAAGGACAGUGUCCAGGGCCUCAGGUCCACUUUUUAAGGGCCAUGAUUCCACUUUGCUGCCCAAGCAAGGAAGCACAAACUCAAAGAUGGAAGGUCCAAAGUCGGAAAGGGCAGGUGAGCUGAUCAAUGGGAGCGUCUUCACACCCGGCACAGAAAUUCUUCUUUCCUAACAAAUUCCACUGUUCAACUUGUUUCAAACUCCAGAAUGAGUAACUGCAUACGUUAAAAAGUGCAUUUAUAUCCAGAGGGGAGUGUUUGCAUAUAUGUUUUAGUUAAUAAAUAAAAAAGUAUCCUGACCUCUGAGA